UGAACCUACGGGGGGCAGCAGUGGGGAAUAUUGCACAAUGGGGGGAACCCUGAUGCAGCGACGCCGCGUGAGUGAAGAAGUAUUUCGGUAUGUAAAGCUCUAUCAGCAGGGAAGAAGAUGACGGUACCUGACUAAGAAGCCCCGGCUAACUACGUGCCAGCAGCCGCGGUAAUACGUAGGGGGCAAGCGUUAUCCGGAUUUACUGGGUGUAAAGGGAGCGUAGACGGCAGGGCAAGUCUGGAGUGAAAACCCGGGGCUUAACCCCGGAACUGCUUUGGAAACUGUGCGGCUGGAGUGCAGGAGGG
rnacentral:rRNA from 1 species